GUGGGGAAUAUUGGACAAUGGGCGCAAGCCUGAUCCAGCCAUGCCGCGUGAGUGAUGAAGGCCCUAGGGUUGUAAAGCUCUUUCACUGGUGAAGAUAAUGACGGUAACCGGAGAAGAAGCCCCGGCUAACUUCGUGCCAGCAGCCGCGGUAAUACGAAGGGGGCUAGCGUUGUUCGGAAUUACUGGGCGUAAAGCGCACGUAGGCGGACAUUUAAGUCAGGGGUGAAAUCCCGGGGCUCAACCCCGGAACUGCCUUUGAUACUGGGUGUCUGGAGUAUGGAAGAGGUAAGUGGAAUUCCGAGUGUAGAGGUGAAAUUCGUAGAUAUUCGGAGGAACACCAGUGGCGAAGGCGGCUUACUGGUCCAUUACUGACGCUGAGGUGCGAAAGCGUGGGGAGCAAACAGGAUUAGAUACCCUAGUAGUCC
rnacentral:rRNA from 1 species